GGGCCCGCACAAGCGGUGGAGCAUGUGGUUCAAUUCGACGCAACGCGAAGAACCUUACCCAGGCUCGAACGGCGAGUGACAUCCGGCGAAAGUCGGCUUCCGCAAGGACACUUGUCGAGGUGCUGCAUGGCUGUCGUCAGCUCGUGUCGUGAGAUGUUGGGUUAAGUCCCGCAACGAGCGCAACCCUUGUCCUCUGUUGCCAUCACGUUAUGGUGGGCACUCUGAGGAGACUGCCGGUGACAAACCGGAGGAAGGUGGGGAUGACGUCAAGUCCGCAUGGCCUUUAUGUCUGGGGCCACACACGUGCUACAAUGGCCGACACAAACCGUCGCGAUACCGCAAGGUGGAGCUAAUCGGAUAAAGUCGGUCUCAGUUCGGAUUGCAGGCUGCAACUCGCCUGCAUGAAGUUGGAAUCGCUAGUAAUCGCGGAUCAGCACGCCGCGGUGAAUACGUUCCCGGGCCUU
rnacentral:rRNA from 1 species